AUUGGCGUACAAAGGUGUUAUC
rnacentral:siRNA from 1 species